ACUUAUGGCACUGCAAGCAGCUCUCUGAAAACAGAAAAACAAAAAACAAUUAGAAAAAAGAAACACUGCAGUUUAAUAGAACCAGUGACACAAACAAAAUGUGGACUCGAGAACAGCAAGUGGCAACUAAGACAGCGCAUUCUCUAUUCUCAAGAUCAUCUUCGUGAAAGUAUCCAUGGGAUGACUGCUGAAGAAACAAGAGGAACUAACAGAGAAAAGUGCUGCUCAAGGGAUCCGAGUGUCAAAUGGAAUAACGAGUGGGAGUUUGGGCAGUGAAAACCCCUAAGCAGCUGGCUUUGGAGAUCUUGGUAAAACAAUAAAGGACAAUAAUCUGAGAUGGC
rnacentral:lncRNA from 7 species